AUUUCAUAUAUAUAUGUUAGCGGCAAUAAGUAAAAUUAGGCAUUAAGCUUAAAUCCUAGGCAAUAAGCUAACGCCUAGGCAUUAAGUUAUUGCCUGAAAUUUUCAGGCAUUAAGCUUAUUGCCUGAAAUCUGAUGAUGAUUAUUCAUCCUAUUGCCGAAGAUAAUUUUAGGCAAUAAGUAAACUCUGGAAUUUAUGCAUAUUGG
rnacentral:lncRNA from 1 species